UGAACAAAAGGUGGUGAAAACAGCUGAAACACUUUAGACAUGGUUUACUGAAAAAAAUGAAGCUCAAAAGAGUAAAUCCAUGAAAAUGACAAAGCAGGACCACCAACUUGCACGUGACAUCAUGCCGAUGUUCUCUCUUUUUAAAAUAAACACACGGAUCAGUACAAAAAGUCGAUGUAUGACAUCUAGAACCAAGUCGCGCAUGUUUUAAAAAUUAAAUCUGGUGUAAAGUUUUGUUUUGUAUCUUUUUAUGUAACUUUCAAUAGGUAAAACUCGUGCUACCAAGCACAUGGGUUCGUUCAUAUACAAUUUAACAGAAUCAUCCUCUAUAGCACACAACCUAAAAAUUAACUGUAUUGACGGUGAACAAUUAACAAAGUAUCAGUCCAACAUUAGUGGAUGCCCUAAGCACAUUUUUAACAACUUCAAGCUGAAUAUCAUUUAAUAAAGAGUCGUGAUGCUGUAUCUACGGUUAGACAAUCCAAAUCUUUAAAUAAAUAAAUCUAAACUCCAU
rnacentral:lncRNA from 1 species